rnacentral:rRNA from 1 species
CUACGUGCCAGCAGCCGCGGUCAUACGUAGGAUCCGAGCGUUAUCCGGAGUGACUGGGCGUAAAGAGUUGCGUAGGUGGUUUAAUAAGCGAAUAGUGAAAUCUGGUGGCUCAACCAUUCAGACUAUUAUUCGAACUGUUAAACUCGAGAGCAGAAGAGGUAGCUGGAAUUUCUAGUGUAGGAGUGAAAUCCGUAGAUAUUAGAAGGAACACCGAUGGCGUAGGCAGGCUACUGGGCUGUUUCUGACACUGAGGCACGAAAGCGUGGGGAGCGAACCGGAUUAGAUACCCGGGUAGUCCACGCCGUAAACGAUGGAUACUAGCUGUUUGGGGUAUCGACCCCCUGAGUAGCGAAGCUAACGCGUUAAGUAUCCCGCCUGUGGAGUACGAUCGCAAGAUUAAAACAUAAAGGAAUUGACGGGGACCCGCACAAGCGGUGGAUUAUGUUCUUUAAUUCGAUGAUAACCGAUAAACCUUACCAGGUCUUGACAUCCUUGGAAUCUUUCAGAAAUGAGAG